rnacentral:misc_RNA from 1 species
GCGCAGCCCGGCUUGAGCGGAGCUCUUUUUCUUUUUUCAAAAGAAAAAAGCGGGAGCGGAAGACGGAAAUAGC